rnacentral:rRNA from 1 species
ACAGCAGUAGCCGCGGUAAAACAGAGGAUGCAAGCGUUAUCCGGAAUGAUUGGGCGUAAAGGGCUCGCAGGCGGUUUCUUAAGUCUGAUGUGAGAGCCCCCGGCUCAACCGGGGAGGGUCAUUGGAAACUGGGAAACUUGAGUGCAGAAGAGGAGAGUGGAAUUCCACGUGGAGCGGUGAAAUGCGUUGAGAUUGGAAAGAACACCAACGGCGAAAGCACUCUGUUGAGCCGACACUGACAUUGAGAGACGAAAUCUAGGGGAGCAAAUGGGAUUAGAUACCCCAGUAGUCCCUGUCUCUUAUAA